rnacentral:ribozyme from 17 species
AAACGAUGACAAUAACAAUAACAAUAAUAAUAAUAAUAGAAAACUCAUUAGACUUUUGUUUGUUUAAAAGAAAACCUUCGUCGGUUUGUUUUUUUGUUUGUUU